rnacentral:rRNA from 1 species
GAUGAACGCUGGCGGUGUGCCUAAUACAUGCAAGUAGAACGCUAAAGGAGUAACUUGCUCUUCUGGCUGAGUUGCGAACGGGUGCGUAACGCGUAUGUAACCUGCCUUGUUUCUGCGUGUAACUUUUGGAAACGAUAGCUACUACCGCAUGACAACAGUUAUUGCAUUAUAACUGUGUAAACUUGGCAACUUCUCCACUACCAUAUGGCCCUGCGUUGUAUUCGCUAUUUGGUGAGGUAACGGCCCACCAAGGCGACGCUACAUAUCCGACAUGAGAGGGUGAUCGGCCAAACUGGGAGUGAGAAAAGGCCCAGACUCCUAAGGGAGGCAGCAGUAGGGAAUCUUCGGCAAUGGACGGAAGUCUGAACGAGCAAAGACGCGUGAGGGAAGAAGGUCUUCGGAGCGUAAAGCUCUGUUGUAAGAGAAGAAAGAGUGGGAGAGUGGAAAGUUCACGCUGUGACGGUACCUUACCAGAAAGCGACGGCUAACUACGUG